UACGGAGGGGGCUAGCGUUGUUCGGAAUCACUGGGCGUAAAGGGUGCGUAGGCGGGUCUUUAAGUCAGAGGUGAAAUCCUGGAGCUCAACUCCAGAACUGCCUUUGAUACUGAGGAUCUUGAGUUCGGGAGAGGUGAGUGGAACUGCGAGUGUAGAGGUGAAAUUCGUAGAUAUUCGCAAGAACACCAGUGGCGAAGGCGGCUCACUGGCCCGAUACUGACGCUGAGGCACGAAAGCGUGGGGAGCAAACAGG
rnacentral:rRNA from 1 species